rfam:Sorghum bicolor cultivar BTx623 chromosome 9, whole genome shotgun sequence.
GUAGUAGGAUUCGCAUCAAUCCACAUGUGUUGGAGUGGAACUUGAACUAAAUUCCACCCCAAUCCACUCCAACACAUGUGGAUUGAGGUGAAUCCGACA